GGUGGCUUACUGGUAGAGCGCUUGCCUUGCAUGCAUGAAGCCCUGGGUUCGAUUCCUCAGCACCA
rnacentral:tRNA from 1 species